UUAAACUAAAGGUGUUCAACCCUUAAAACCCAAAAUCCAUCGUUAUGCAGAAGCUUUUAGGAGUUAUUACUCUACUUCUUUCUUCAAUUUACGAGUAAAGAGAGGUAAAAAAGCUUACCAAUUCCUCAAUCUCUCUACUACCAGACUUCAAUGCACUUGACUUUUGCGACAUACAGAGCUUUCUUUCGUUGCCUCCUCUUCUUCUUUAGAAUUAUUGAAGAAUAUGAUGUUGUGGAGAGAAAAAGUUGUAAACAAAAUAGAGAAUUUUA
rnacentral:lncRNA from 1 species